rnacentral:rRNA from 1 species
GAUGAACGCUGGCGGCGUGCCUAAUACAUGCAAGUCGAGCGAACAGAUGAGGAGCUUGCUCCUCUGACGUUAGCGGCGGACGGGUGAGUAACACGUGGAUAACCUACCUAUAAGACUGGGAUAACUUCGGGAAACCGGAGCUAAUACCGGAUAAUAUAUUGAACCGCAUGGUUCAAUAGUGAAAGACGGUUUUGCUGUCACUUAUAGCUGGAUCCGCGCCGCAUUAGCUAGUUGGUAAGGUAACGGCUUACCAAGGCAACGAUGCGUAGCCGACCUGAGAGGGUGAUCGGCCACACUGGAACUGAGACACGGUCCAGACUCCUACGGGAGGCAGCAGUAGGGAAUCGUCCGCAAUGGGCGAAAGCCUGACGGAGCAACGCCGCGUGAGUGAUGAAGGUCUUCGGAUCGUAAAACUCUGUUAUUAGGGAAGAACAAAUGUGUAAGUAACUAUGCACGUCUUGACGGUACCUAAUCAGAAAGCCACGGCUAACUACGUG